UGGCCACAUCAUGUUGAAACACCGUUUCCUGUACAAUCAACAAAGUUAAGCAAUGUUGAGCCAGAUCCAUACCUAGAUGGGUGACCGCUUGGGAAUACCAGGUGCUGUAAG